CAAGUACCUCUGUCCGAAAAUACUUGUCAUCAAAAUGAAUAAAAAAUAAUGUAUCUAGAACUAAAAUAUGUCUAGAUACAUCUCCUUUUAUCCAUUUUGAUGACAAGUAUUUCCGGACAGAGGGAGUACAUA
rfam:Triticum urartu cultivar G1812 contig364805, whole genome shotgun sequence.